UACGUAGGGGGCAAGCGUUGUCCGGAUUUAUUGGGCGUAAAGAGCGUGUAGGCGGCUUGGUAGGUCUCGCGUCAAAACCUGCGGCUCAACCACAGUUCGCGUGGGAAACCACCUAGCUAGAGUCCGGAAGAGGAGAACGGAAUUCCCAGUGUAGCGGUGAAAUGCGCAGAUAUUGGGAAGAACACCAGUGGCGAAGGCGGUUCUCUGGGACGGUACUGACGCUGAGACGCGAAAGCGUGGGAGC
rnacentral:rRNA from 1 species